UACGAAGGGGGCUAGCGUUGUUCGGAAUUACUGGGCGUAAAGGGCGCGUAGGCGGUGUGUCAAGUCAGGCGUGAAAGCCCCGGGCUCAACCUGGGAACAGCGCUUGAGACUGGCACGCUCGAGUUCGGGAGAGGAUGGUGGAAUUCCCAGUGUAGAGGUGAAAUUCGUAGAUAUCAGGAGGAACACCGGUGGCGAAGGCGACCACCUGGACAGACACUGACGCUGAGGCGCGAAAGCGUGGGGAGCAAACAGG
rnacentral:rRNA from 1 species